AGCGAACGCUGGCGGCAGGCCUAACACAUGCAAGUCGAACGAAGCCUUCGGACUUAGUGGCGGACGGGUGAGUAACACGUGGGAACGUACCUUUUGGUUCGGAACAACUCAGGGAAACUUGAGCUAAUACCGCAUGAGCCCUUAGGGGGAAAGAUUGAUCGCCGAAAGAGCGGCCCGCGUUAGAUUAGCUAGUUGGUGAGGUAAAGGCUCACCAAGGCUACGAUCUAUAGCUGGUCUGAGAGGAUGAUCAGCCACACUGGGACUGAGACACGGCCCAGACUCCUACGGGAGGCAGCAGUGGGGAAUCUUGCGCAAUGGGCGAAAGCCUGACGCAGCCAUGCCGCGUGAAUGAUGAAGGUCUUAGGAUUGUAAAAUUCUUUUACCAGGGACGAUAAUGACGGUACCUGGAGAAAAAGCCCCGGCUAACUUCGUGCCAGCCGCCGCCGUAAAAC
rnacentral:rRNA from 1 species